rnacentral:rRNA from 1 species
GAUGAACGCUGGCGGCGUGCCUAAUACAUGCAAGUCGAGCGAACGGACGAGAAGCUUGCUUCUCUGAUGUUAGCGGCGGACGGGUGAGUAACACGUGGAUAACCUACCUAUAAGACUGGGAUAACUUCGGGAAACCGGAGCUAAUACCGGAUAAUAUUUUGAACCGCAUGGUUCAAAAGUGAAAGACGGUCUUGCUGUCACUUAUAGAUGGAUCCGCGCUGCAUUAGCUAGUUGGUAAGGUAACGGCUUACCAAGGCAACGAUGCAUAGCCGACCUGAGAGGGUGAUCGGCCACACUGGAACUGAGACACGGUCCAAACUCCUACGGGAGGCAGCAGUAGGGAAUCUUCCGCAAUGGGCGAAAGCCUGACGGAGCAACGCCGCGUGAGUGAUGAAGGUCUUCGGAUCGUAAAACUCUGUUAUUAGGGAAGAACAUAUGUGUAAGUAACUGUGCACAUCUUGACGGUACCUAAUCAGAAAGCCACGGCUAACUACGUGCCAGCAGCCGCGGUAAUACGUAGGUGGCAAGCGUUAUCCGGAAUUAUUGGGCGUAAAGCGCGCGUAGGCGGUUUUUUAAGUCUGAUGUGAAAGCCCACGGCUCAACCGUGGAGGGUCAUUGGAAACUGGAAAACUUGAGUGCAGAAGAGGAAAGUGGAAUUCCAUGUGUAGCGGUGAAAUGCGCAGAGAUAUGGAGGAACACCAGUGGCGAAGGCGACUUUCUGGUCUGUAACUGACGCUGAUGUGCGAAAGCGUGGGGAUCAAACAGGAUUAGAUACCCUGGUAGUCCACGCCGUAAACGAUGAGUGCUAAGUGUUAGGGGGUUUCCGCCCCUUAGUGCUGCAGCUAACGCAUUAAGCACUCCGCCUGGGGAGUACGACCGCAAGGUUGAAACUCAAAGGAAUUGACGGGGACCCGCACAAGCGGUGGUGCAUGUGGUUUAAUUCGAAGCAACGCGAAGAACCUUACCAAAUCUUGACAUCCUUUGACAACUCUAGAGAUAGAGCCUUCCCCUUCGGGGGACAAAGUGACAGGUGGUGCAUGGUUGUCGUCAGCUCGUGUCGUGAGAUGUUGGGUUAAGUCCCGCAACGAGCGCAACCCUUAAGCUUAGUUGCCAUCAUUAAGCUGGGCACUCUAAGUUGACUGCCGGUGACAAACCGGAGGAAGGUGGGGAUGACGUCAAAUCAUCAUGCCCCUUAUGAUUUGGGCUACACACGUGCUACAAUGGACAAUACAAAGGGCAGCGAAACCGCGAGGUCAAGCAAAUCCCAUAAAGUUGUUCUCAGUUCGGAUUGUAGUCUGCAACUCGACUACAUGAAGCUGGAAUCGCUAGUAAUCGUAGAUCAGCAUGCUACGGUGAAUACGUUCCCGGGUCU